CACACUCUGACUUUGCUUCUUGAAAAGCAAUGAUACUCAUGUGCUGCAUCAUGAUGUCUUGGUCAGCGAGGGACCGCAUGUACGAUGCUGGUCCCGUAAGAUCAGCACCGUGGAGCCUGGCCGAGCAGCAGGCUAGACAGCCUAGGAUUGCGUGAGCACAAGGACGGCAUCACCGAACGACACAUUUCUCAGAGCGUGUCCCGUGGCUCAGUGACACUGACUGGACACAUGAAUACGGUAGAGACGGUUCAUUGAACCCUUCACAGUGGGCUAACAGAUAUAAACGUGGAGUGAUGCCCUUUUAUCUUUUAAAGUUCUAUUUUACUUGGUUAUUUAUAAGACAAGAUACUUUCAUUUUAAUUAUAAUUGCUUUAUGGAUUAAUUAUCACAGUGAUUAUAUGAAUAUUUAAUACAACUUUAUGGUGUUUACCCACAGUAUCUUGAAAAUUAGCUCUUGUGUAUCAACAGGCCGGUGUGAAUAAUUCAUAUUCAUAAAUGCAGCUUGACUUUCAUUAGCAACGACUCCUGGAAGAUAUGUGAGCAUAUUACUGAAAAUGUGAGCUCUGGGAGUGAGUCGAAGUAAUUCUUUAUUUAUACAAACACCACAGCAGCUUAAAUGUCGGAAAAUUUCUUGGAUAAAAUCUCUUUCUUUGUAAUGUUGUUUUUCAGCAUUUCAGCAAUGCCUUCAAGAAAUCGUUGUUUCUAUUUCUCAUCUCCUAAUAAGGUCCUGCUCUCUGACUUCAUAUGCACCAGUUCUCUGUGCUCGUCAGACACAGAUUUCGGUGUGAUCAGAUGCCCCUGUGCAUUGGGGUUUGAACGACUUGAUUUCAGUGUUGAUUCUCCAUUAACGUUUUCGCCUCUGUCUCGUGACGAUUUCCACGGUGGACGCAGAGUCGAGCUGCGUGUGGUUCAUCUGUGACGUUCGUCCUGCGUGAUGGUGGAGACACCCAGAAUUCUCCAUCCUGUGCUCAUGACCCUCUGAAACACUGGUGCUGACCAGCCUCUGGGAGUGGCUGCCCCCUCAGGAGCAGUCAGCACCAUCGCUGCUUUGGGCCCACAGGCAACACCGCUUCUGUGGUUGCUGCCGGUUUGCGCUGCUGUGUGGGGCCCGCUCCAGGCUGACCCAUGUCACCCGCACCUCACCUCUGCUUGGGUGUCCACAGCCUGCGGCAAAGAGGCACUGCUGGACGAGAGGCCCUCCUCGGUUCAGAUUCCUUGUUAGUAGCUGAUUUAUUUAACCGCUGCUCACUUACUACCCCAGUUCCACCAGGGCAGACAUCCAUGUUGUUCACCUCUGCAGGCUGGUGUGUAACACGGGGCCUGGAAUACAGGAGGAGCUCAACCGACGUUCAGUGGCUUGGUUCAGCUUGGGGAGAACACUGACUGUUGGCCCGUUCCUACCCUCCUCACAGACCCUUCGCCCUGUGCACACACCGUGCGCUGGAAGCAGCAGGCCCCCAGGUCUGAGGCACCAGUUUUCCAGGGAGAUAGAUACAGCUACCUUCAGGUCAGCCCUUUGAAAGUCACGCUGACUCAGGUCACGACUCUGGCAUCUCCCUCCCAACAUGGUCCUCCCAUGGGGGCUCCCCCACGGUCACAGUGACUCAAGCAACGACCUCACAAACACAACCUGUGGACCAUACUGUCUCCAGAUUGGGAUUUCAGACCAAAGUCUUCGAGGAAGGAUCAGGGACUUACACAUAUUCACAAUUUUUUCUGAAGAAAAUUGAGGGACUAAAUGAGAUGAUGGGUAUAAAGCGCCUGGACCCACACUAUGUGCUCAACAGUUCUCACUAUUUCAGGUCAAUUUAGAGAUUUCUUUGCAAAGAGUUAUAAUUCCAAUCUUCGUUCUGCUCCACGUGGUCAAGUGUCCCCACGGUUCCAUCUAACCACCCCAGGUCAGCGGCGGACCUGGAGCCAUGUCUGACUGCUCAGUGGACACGUUGCUAAAGGAAAACAUCCCGAGAGGAAGGUACCCUGACACCAAGGGCACUUGCGGGGAACUUCAUCUGAAAUGUGUCAAAGUCCUUUAAAUGGAAAACUCGCCCUUUCUACGCUAAUUAUUUCAGUUCAAAGAACAACUCUGCUGCUUAAAGGAUAAGAGUUAAAGACAGUGCAUUUCGUGACCCAAUCAGAGAAGUCAUCGUUAAUGGCGCCAGAGAGAAGCCGGGGUGUCUGGCUCUGUGGUUCACCUUUAGACUGCACCCACCUCGGCGAUGACAAUACGCAGCGUGGCAACUCCACCGUCCUUUGUUAGCCCGGCCUUGUGGAACCUGAGUUACCCAUGGCUGCAGGAGAUGCUGCGAGACUCAUGAGAAACUCACAUGUGAUAAAGACAAAGAACCCAGGGACAAAUCACGUCCCACUUUUAAAAGUUUCAUUUCUACUGAUAGAACUAUCCAGAAUCUUAAGGCUGAAACGAAAUCAUGCGUUUUGCUCAGUCCAUUUGGGCUGCUAUCAGGAAAUCCCACAGACUGGGUGGUUUAUAAAUAACAGAAAGGUAUUGCUCACAGUCUGGAGGCUGGAGGUCUGACUUCAGGAUGCCAGCACGACUGAGCCAGGGCCCUCUUGCAGGUCACAGACUUCUCUCUGUAUCCUCACCUGGCGGAGGGGCCAGGGAGCUCUGGGGGGUCUCCGUUACAAAGGCAGUAAUGCCAUCAUCAGAGGGCCCCAUCCUCAUGACCUGCGCUCUCCCAGGUCCCACCUCCUAAUGCCAUCACCUUAGUCACUGGGAUUUCAACAUGCGAAUCUGGGGGAACACAACUGUUCAGACCACAGUAUGCUUCAAGGAUGGACUUUGAUAAUGGAGAAAAAGUAGCAACAAACAAAUGAAAACUCACUCAAAACACCCAAAUUCGUUUUAUUCAGGGGGUCGCUAUAGUUUAGGUCCACUUAAAAUUUAUCUAACAAAUUACUUGCAUGGCUCCUCUUUCCUCAAAAAAAAAAAGAGAGAGAGAAGAAAUUUGCUAUCCUUAAUUCCUAAUGAACAUGGUAAACUGUGUUCCCUUGCCUGGAUGGUAUGAUCAGAGGCACGAAACUUUCUCCAGGAGCCCAUCCUGAGCUUAGGGUGAAAUGAAUGACAGAUGAAGACUUUGGAAUCCACCUAGUUGUCUAUAUUUUUGUAAAUGGAAAGAUCUGAUUGUCCAUUCACUUAUUUCUUCAAUUAAACAAGAUUUGUCCAAAAAUAUCUUCUAUAUGAAGAAACUAAAACACUGGGGCUUUUUCCUAAUUUAAAAAGUAAUAGAUAUUGACUUCUGUCACCAGCUAUGGUGAAGUACUUGGGCCGAGCUUAAUUUUCAGAUAUAAACAACUAGAAAAGUAGGCAGAAUAUGGAAACGACUGUUUUCAGAUACUGGAAAGCAGGCAGCACAGAGGGCUGUGAUCCUUGAUAAAAAGAGGAACAGACACGAUGAUUCCUGCAACUGUCCAGCGUGCGUGUGAGGGCGUAAUGCCUAUGGAAGGCUUCGAAGGCAGUACUUCCUGAGUAGUUUUUUGCAGGCUUAAAACUGUUUUCUCUAAGACCUUGAUGCUUGGAAUGUGGCUUGACUGGUUCUAGAAGCCCAGGUUGGGUCUCCAUUGCUGGAGUCUCUCGGAACACUUGCCCACUGUGCCCUGUGCCCUCCCUUUGUGUGUUCUUGAGAAGAGUGAGGUCAGCAUCAUUCUUUCGGCCAUAGAAGUUAUUAGAUAUUUUUUCCCUCAAGCCCUUAGGAUUUUUUUACUUGUUUUAAAGGUUAAUCCUUUUACCAGGCUGUGUCUCAGAGUUAACUCUCCAGGCUGUUUUCCACAGGCACCUUCCAGCAGGUCCUUCUGAUGUGAAGUUCACUUCUGUCAUUUAUGGGAAAGUGUUUAAUUACAGCUUCAUUAGGUUUGGCCCGUUGCUUUGUUUGGGACUCUGGUUAUAUGUGUGUUGGUUCUUCAUUAUCUCCCUUCCAUUUCACCACUUUCACUCUGAUCUUUAUUUAUCUAAAUUUUAAUUUAAUUUUUGGGGUUGUUCUCUUGUCUUUCUUCAAUGACUUGAUUUUUCACUUAAUUCAAUUGUUCCUGCUUUCGUCCAUUUUUAUAUAUUGAGUAAAAGUUGCUCUUUUCUUACAACCAAAUGCUGCUGAGGAUAUUUAACUAAACGGAUGGCACUGUGCUCACUUUCCUUCUGCUUCGUGAUUUUUUUGGCAGUGCAUGUUCAUCAACUGAAAUCUCUUGAUUCUCAUUUUGCAUUUUCUUCUAAUCAUAGCUUUUUCUAACUCCCAGCUGCCUUUGUUUAUUCGUUUCCUCACUACAGAUGGCAGUCAGUGGUGGUUGGUAAGAUUCCUUGUUCACGAGCUCUCCCUUCUGUCAGUACAGCAAAACUGGCUUUCUGGUGGUUGUCCUGGGGAAGUGGUUCUGUGCCUCCAAUUCCAGUUUCCUCUUUGGUCUUUCAAGACCUUGAUUUUCCCUCUUUUCUCCUCCAUAUCCCUUGACCAUCCUUUCUGACUCACCGGCUCCUUCCUCGGAAGCUCAGCCUGUCCGGAACUGCUGCCUGAGUCCAGACCUACUCAGGUCCCCUCCCGUCUUGGCCUCAGUCCACCCAGGUGCUCCCAGGGGUACCCUCCCGCAAGUGAUGCUGGCUGAAUGGCAGGCUGUCCACUGGUCUCCACUCUCUCCCUGCACGUUUUCCUGGUAUUUUCUCAUCUCCACCAAGGUCUUCAGGGGAAUGCAUCAAUCACUCAGUUGGAAUAUAUCGUUUAUCUUUCUACUUCCAGAACACUGCCAUACCAUGGCUUGAUGAGCCAGGUGUAGGUGCACGCCCAGGAUCUGAACUCAUGAACCCAGGGCGACCAGAAGCAGAGCACGGGAACUUAACCACUAUGCCACCGGGCUAGCCCCGUCCUUCUUUUUCUAAAUUAUCUAUAUGAAGCGGCUCACGGUUGAUGGACAUUUAGCUCCUUACUAAAAGCUUUUGGAUGAUGCCACUACCACAAUAUUCAUCAAUAAAAA
rnacentral:lncRNA from 1 species